rnacentral:rRNA from 1 species
AUUGAACGCUGGCGGCAGGCCUAACACAUGCAAGUCGAACGGUAACAGAAAGCUGCUUGCUGCUUUGCUGACGAGUGGUGGACGGGUGAGUAAUGUCUGGGAAACUGCCUGAUGGAGGGGGAUAACUACUGGAAACGGUAGCUAAUACCGCAUAACUUCGCAAGACCAAAGAGGGGGACCUUCGGGCCUCUUGUCAUCGGAUGUGCCCAGAUGGGAUUAGCUAGUAUGUGGGGUAACGGCUCACCUAGGCGACGCUCCCUAGCUGGUCUGAGAGGAUGACCAGACACACUGGAACUGAGACACGGUCCAAACUCCUACGGGAGGCAGAAGUGGGGAAUAUUGCACAAUGGGCGCAAGCCUGAUGCAGAAAUGCCGCGUGUAUGAAAGAGGCCUUCGGAUUGUAAAGUACUAUAAGCGGGGAGGAAGGGAGUAGAGUUAAGACCUUUGAUCAUUGACGAUACCCGCAGAAGAAGCACCGGCUAACUCCGUG